AACGAACGCUGGCGGCAGGCCUAACACAUGCAAGUCGAGCGCCCCGCAAGGGGAGCGGCGGACGGGUGAGUAACGCGUGGGAAUAUGCCCUUUGCUACGGAAUAGUCUCGGGAAACUGGGGGUAAUACCGUAUACGCCCUUUGGGGGAAAGAUUUAUCGGCGAAGGAUUAGCCCGCGUUGGAUUAGGUAGUUGGUGGGGUAAUGGCCUACCAAGCCGACGAUCCAUAGCUGGUUUGAGAGGAUGAUCAGCCACACUGGGACUGAGACACGGCCCAGACUCCUACGGGAGGCAGCAGUGGGGAAUCUUAGACAAUGGGGGCAACCCUGAUCUAGCCAUGCCGCGUGAGUGAUGAAGGCCUUAGGGUUGUAAAGCUCUUUCAGCUGGGAAGGUAAUGACGGUACCAGCAGAAGAAGCCCCGGCUAACUCCGUG
rnacentral:rRNA from 1 species